ACUCUAAGAUGAUCAUGUAUUCCUAUAUAUAUGCCAUGAGGCUCAAGCAAUAAAACAAAUUAUUCCACCAAUCCUUCUUCUCCCUUCUAACAGCUUGGCCGAGAUGGCGUCAGACCGGACAUGGGGCGCACCUGUCAGCUGGAUCUUCUUCUUCGGUCACCUGGAUCGGCCUCGAGUCGCAGCUGCCCGAAUCACACCCCCUACGACCAUCGCCGUCGCCUCCUAGACCCCGAUGGCGCGACCCCUCGCCGGCGAUGAGACCCACACGGCCCCUUCCCGGCCUGCGCCUUCCUUCCUCACUCUUCAGAUGCGCCUACCUCCGCCGGCUCUGGGACGGUGCCUGGGUGUUCCCGGAGACAGCCACCCUCCCGCCUGGCGCCAGCCUCCCCAACCUUCAUGAGCUUGUCCUUGGCCGCACCAUCACAAAGGGCAAAGACCUCAAGUUCGUGCCCGUCGUGAGCCCCAUGCUGGAGAUCCUCAUGGUCGCCGGAAGCGAGACCCAAUUGACGCUUGUCUCGCCAACCCCAGACUACGGUGCACGCAGUUCUGCUUGGGCGUCGUACUGCUGUCUAGGGAGCUGAUUGCUUUUCUGAUUUUGACUGCAGGGCGUCCUUGUAAAAUUACAGGGACUAAUUUGUAAAUAUAAAAAAAUCCCCAUCUAACGCCGUCUCGGCUGAACAGUUACGCCACUUCGGCAAAAUCAGGACCCAUCUGUCAUAAAUGUGUUUAAAAUGCUCUA